UGGCCCAACCUAUUCAGUUAGU
rnacentral:miRNA from 1 species